GCUUCUGUAGUGUAGUUCGGCCAAUCUUAAUUUGAUACCCUCAUGACCCGGGUUCAAAUCCCGGCAGAAGCA
rnacentral:tRNA from 1 species